AUUGAACGCUGGCGGCGUGCCUAACACAUGCAAGUCGAGCGGUAACAGGUGUAGCAAUACAUGCUGACGAGCGGCGGACGGGUGAGUAACGCUUGGGAAUCUGCCUGUUAGUGGGGGACAACCCGGGGAAACUCGGGCUAAUACCGCAUACGCACUACGGUGGAAAGCCGGGGACCGCAAGGCCUGGCGCUAACAGAUGAGCCCAAGUCGGAUUAGCUAGUUGGUAGGGAACGGCCUACCAAGGCGACGAUCCGUAACUGGUCUGAGAGGACGACCAGUCACACCGGAACUGAGACACGGUCCGGACUCCUACGGGAGGCAGCAGUGGGGAAUAUUGGACAAUGGGCGAAAGCCUGAUCCAGCGACGCCGCGUGGGUGAAGAAGGCCUGCGGGUUGUAAAGCACUUUCAGUAAGGGAAGAAAUGCUUGAGCUAACACCGCCAAGUUUUGACGUUACCUACAGAAGAAGC
rnacentral:rRNA from 1 species